AGCGAACGCUGGCGGCAGGCCUAACACAUGCAAGUCGAACGAACUCUUCGGAGUUAGUGGCGGACGGGUGAGUAACACGUGGGAACGUGCCUUUAGGUUCGGAAUAACUCAGGGAAACUUGAGCUAAUACCGAAUGUGCCCUUCGGGGGAAAGAUUUAUCGCCUUUAGAGCGGCCCGCGUCUGAUUAGCUUGUUGGUGAGGUAAUGGCUCACCAAGGCUACGAUCAGUAGCUGGUCUGAGAGGAUGACCAGCCACAUUGGGACUGAGACACGGCCCAAACUCCUACGGGAGGCAGCAGUGGGGAAUCUUGCGCAAUGGGCGAAAGCCUGACGCAGCCAUGCCGCGUGUAUGAUGAAGGUCUUAGGAUUGUAAAAUACUUUCACCGGUGAAGAUAAUGACUGUAGCCGGAGAAGAAGCCCCGGCUAACUUCGUGCCAGCAGCCGCGGUAAUACAAAGGGGGCUAGCGUUGCUCGGAAUUACUGGGCGUAAAGGGAGCGUAGGCGGA
rnacentral:rRNA from 1 species